rnacentral:rRNA from 1 species
GUANGGGGCGAGCGUUAUCCGGAUUCAUUGGNCGUAAAGCGCGCGUAGGCGGCCGCGUAGGCGGGGGGUCAAAUCCCGGNGCUCAANCCCGGUCCGCCCCCCGAACCCCGCGNCUCGGNUCCGGUANGGGAGGGUGGAAUUCCCGGUGUANCNNUGGAAUGCNCANAUAUCGGGAGGAACACCGGUGGCGAAGGCGGCCCUCUGGGCCGAGACCGACGCUNAGGCACGAAAGCUGGGGGAGCGAACANGAUUAGAUACCCUGNUAUUCCCAGCCGUAAACGAUGGACGCUAGGUGUGGGGGGACGAUCCCUCCGUGCCGCAGCCAACGCAUUAAGCGUCCCGCCUGGGGAGUACGGCCGCAAGGCUAAAACUCAAAGG